rnacentral:rRNA from 1 species
UACAGAGGGUGCGAGCGUUGUUCGGAAUUAUUGGGCGUAAAGCGCUUGUAGGCGGCCUGUCAAGUCGCGUGUGAAAUCCCCUGGCUUAACCAGGGAAGUGCGCGCGAAACUGAGGGGCUUGAGUGCCGGAGAGGGUCGCGGAAUUCCCGGUGUAGAGGUGAAAUUCGUAGAUAUCGGGAGGAACACCAGUGGCGAAGGCGGCGACCUGGACGGACACUGACGCUGAGAGCGAAAGCGUGGGGAGCAAACAGG